GUUUUGGUAGUUAAAUUUAAUAACUCUGAUUUUGUAAUUCAGAAUUGAUUCUUUCCCAAAACU
rnacentral:tRNA from 1 species